CUUUUUUUUUUUUUUUUUUUUUUUGUUCCUCGAAGGCGCGCUGCGCGUGCGCACCCGCAGCGCCGCCCAGCGGGAGUUGUAGUUUCUGAUCGGUCCCCACCAACGCGACGGCGGGGGCGGUGGACUACGACUCCCAGGAAGCCUUGCGCGGGCGAGCCCCGAACCCGAGGACGCGGCGAGCGCGGCGCCCGGCCCUCUCCGGCAAGGACUGUCAAUGGAGGCGCGGGUGGUGGGAGCAAGAACAUGGCUGCACCUGGGGCCUGCGCGGCCGCCUGGGUGGGGGAGGGGAGCCGGGGCACGGGGGCGCAAAUCGAGGCCGGGGGUAGCCCCCGCCCGCUCACUGCCCCGAUGCAGCCGGCCUCAGCCACCGUCCGGGACUCGCACCCACUCUUGCACCCCAGAUUCCCUGCCGAUUGCGAGGCCGGAACUCGGCAGAGGCCGGGGAGCCCCAGCCGGCCUGCCGCUCUCGGUGCUCCGCCAAGGGACUUCCUCCGCGCUGCACCACCCUUCGGGACACAAAGAACUUCUGUUAGUUUUGAAAAGCUUGCCUCAAAAGCGUCCGACAGAGACUGUUGCCCCAACUUUGGACGGGCGACGGGAGGGGACUCUCCUGUUUUUAUUUACCGCCCCUCACCCCAGGCUUGCUUUCCUCACGCCCCCUCACUCAACAUUUAGAAGGAAAGUUGAGGGAAAGCCACCGAGUGAGAGCAGAAAACCUGCCGUGUAGCCCGUUUUGUUCUGUCAACCGCGAAGAAAGGUUACCGAAACCUCUCCCCCCGCGACUAAUUCUUUUGCUUCUCAACUUGAGAUCUCGAAUUUCGAAAAGGAUGAGACAUUGCUGUUCACCUAAGCGAAACUCCAAAGUUUACCAAACUCGAGCCCCGAGGGCUUAGACAGUUCUGUAAAGCACAAGAUCGAGUGCUUUUGCGAUUUUUACCCCCCAGCGGAGAUGGGGGGGGACCACGCCGGCCAUCCUCCCCCUCCCCCUCCUCCUCGGUAGGUGGCGACCACGGCGCUUUUUCCAGCCUUUGUCGCUGGAAAGAAAACUUUCCGAGCAGCCAGGCUUUUGAUGUAGGUCCAAGACCUUCCCUUUGACUCUUCGUUCCAGAUUGGCGUUCCCCAUCUUUCUUGCAAUAGACCGCACCCAUAAGGCAGCCGAAUCUAGAAUUUCCAUGCUGGGAUUCUUUAAGAUAGAGGGAGACUUUAAAGAUCCCUGCAGAAGCGGUCCGAUUGCAGAUUUCCACAUUUUUACGAUUUCCCCUGCAACGUUUUUACAGGCAUUUUGUCCCCGCCUAACUCGAUUGUGACUCUCCUUUGUCGAGUCUGUCCAAAGCGUUCAUUUCGUUUUCAUGAAAAGUUUUCUUUUUGCACUCGUAUUUCAUUAACAUGCCGGACUAUUAAAUUCCGUAUUCCCAGUAGCACGUAAAACUGACAUCUAUGUAAGGAACAAACCAAAUUUUGAGAAAGUCUGCAAUUGAGCUGCUGGGAGCAGUCAGCCUUCCAGGGACAAACAUUCAGCCGCUGUGAGCACCGGCUCCAUGCUGGGUGUGGAUCCCGAUGAGGGGCUUGAACUCACGACCCUGAGAUCAAAACCUGAGAUGAGAUCAAGAGGUGGAUGCUUAACCAACUGAGCCACCCAGUUACACCUGAAACUCCGUUAUAUAUAAAUAGCCUUCAUAACUUGGUCACAACAAAUAGUACUUGAAACAGUAAAGACAAACAAACAGACAAAACCAAAAAGCAAAAAAACCCAAAGAACCACCUGAAUUGAAACAUCAUUUUGGAGAAGAGAGAAGGAAGGAAGGUGUUGAAGUAAUAUAUUGGAAUAGUUAUCUAGUGCCGUCGUUCACUUGACCAUUAAUUUCAGAAGUGUCCUUAUAAUUAUGUUAAAUUAAAGAUCUUGCGAAUUAUAGGUCACAGAUAUCCACUUUCAAUGUGGAAUAAGUCUAUAAAGAUGCUCGUUAAGAUGCUGCUCUAAGAUCAGAAUGAAAGUGUGUCCAUUUAACUCGGUGAGGUCAGGCCCGCUUUAUACCCCAAGGGAUCUGCAAGGCUGGAUUUGAAGCAGUUAACAGAUUCAUUUAAGCAAAAUCUUUGGUUUCUCGGCUGGCAGUGUCCUUAGCAAGGAAAUCACGUGACCACUCUGGGUGAGGCAGAGUCCCUUCAAGGACAUUCAGAGGGUUUGGGAAGUGGCUGCUUCAAAUUCACACCCCACCCAGAGGGACUGUGGCCAUUGCCCUGGGCUGGGGCGAGGGCUCCAAGGCGAUUCUGACAUGCAGCCAGGGAUGACCAGCGGCCCAACGCGGAUCGACAAGAGGAUUAUGACUUUGAUCUUAUUUCCAUCGUCUUUCCUGUGUGGGAAACAGGCAAAGGAAAAAAAAGAAAAGUCAGCGGGUAAACAUAUUUUAGCGACCCGAUAAAGUAUCUGCUGUAAUUCCAACCAACUGGUGUGGCCCAGAGGACAUUCUCCCCUUUGCACUCGGCAGUGCUGCGAAAAGACAGGCAAUGUUGAAAGAGAUCUCACUCUAAUGGCAAACAACAACAACGACAACGACAACAACCUUGAAUUUUCAGCUGAGCUCAUUUUCCAGGACUGCUUGAGCAGCUGCUGCCACCUCAUGGAAAAUUUUUAUAAAUUUCCAGUUGAGGCAAGAAUCCACCAUCUCCAUGGUCUUCCGGUUACUGCUACCAACGCACGUUCCCUCAGACCAAAAAGCCCCUGGAAGUCUUUGGGCCUGCCAGCCCAAAGCAGUUGAAAAGCAGUUAGAGUAUCAUAGACAUGUGGCGAUUAGAAAUCAAGCAAUUAAAAAAAUUAAAACAUCAACAUUAAAAAACAAAAAAAGAGGGCGCCUGGCUGGCUCAGUCUGUUCAGCAUCCGACUUCGGCUCAGGUCAUGAUCUUGCCGUCCGUGAGUUCGAGCCCCGUGUCGGCCUCUGUGCUGAUAGCUCGGAGCCUGGAGCCUUGCUUCGGAUUCUGUGUCUCCCUACCUGUCUCUCCGCCCCUCCCAUGCUUGUGCUCUAUCUCUCUGUCUCUCUCUCUCUCAAAUAAAGAUUGAAAAAAACAAUAAAUAAAUAAAAGAAAAAAAGAAAACAAUAAGUAAUAUUUCUCUUAAAAAUAUUUCAGGGGCACCUGGCUGGCUCAGUCAGAGGAGUUGUGCUACUCUUGAUCUUAGGGUUGGUCGUGAGUUCAAGGCCCCUCUUGGGUGGAGAGAUUACUUACUAAAUUAAAA